rnacentral:rRNA from 1 species
GAUGAACGCUGGCGGCGUGCCUAAUACAUGCAAGUCGAGCGAACAGACGAGGAGCUUGCUCCUCUGACGUUAGCGGCGGACGGGUGAGUUACACGUGGAUAACCCACCUAUAAGACUGUGAUAACUUCGGGAAACCGGUGCUAAUACCGGAUAAUAUAUGAAACAGCAUGGGUCAAUAGUGAAAGACGGUUUUGCUGUCACUUAUAGAUGGAUCCGCGCCGGAUUAGCUAGUUGGCAAGGUAACGGCCUACCAAGGCAACGAUGAGUAGCCGACCUGAGAGGGUGAUCAGCCACACUGGGACUGAGACACGGUCCAGACUCCUACGGGAGGCAGCAGUAGGGAAUCUUCCGCAAUGGGCGAAAGCCUGACGGAGCAACGCCGCGUGAGUGAUGAAGGUCUUCGGAUCGUAAAACUCUGUUAUUAGGGAAGAACAAAUGUGUAAGUAACUAUGCACGUCUUGACGGUACCUAAUCAGAAAGCCACGGCUAACUACGUG